CAGUAGCCGCGGAAUACGUAGGUGGCAAGCGUUGUCCGGAAUUAUUGGGCGUAAAGGGCUCGCAGGCGGUUUCUUAAGUCUGAUGUGAAAGCCCCCGGCUCAACCGGGGAGGGUCAUUGGAAACUGGGAAACUUGAGUGCAGAAGAGGAGAGUGGAAUUCCACGUGUAGCGGUGAAAUGCGUAGAGAUGUGGAGGAACACCAGUGGCGAAGGCGACCCUCUGGUCUGUAACUGACGCUGAGGAGCGAAAGCGUGGGGAGCGAACAGGAUUAGAUACCCCAGUAGUCCCUGUCUCUUAUACA
rnacentral:rRNA from 1 species